CGGACGGGUGAGUAACGCGUGAGAAUCUGCCUUAUGGACGGGGACAACAACUGGAAACGGUUGCUAAAACCCGAUGUGCCCUUUUUUAGGGUGAAAUAUUAAUAGCCAGAAGAGGAGCUCGCGUCUGAUUAGCUAGUUGGAGUGGUAAGAGCACACCAAGGCGACGAUCAGUAGCUGGUCUGAGAGGAUGAACAGCCACACUGGGACUGAGACACGGCCCAGACUCCUACGGGAGGCAGCAGUGGGGAAUUUUCCGCAAUGGGCGAAAGCCUGACGGAGCAAGACCGCGUGGGGGAGGAAGGUCUAUUGAUUGUAAACCCCUUUUCUGAGGAAAGAAAUAAAUGACGGUACCUCAGGAAUAAGCAUCGGCUAACUCUGUGCCAGCAGCCGCGGUAAUACAGAGGAUGCAAGCGUUAUCCGGAAUUAUUGGGCGUAAGAGUCCGUAGGGGGCUAAUCAAGUCUGUCGUUAAAGACCGCAGCUUAACUGCGGGCAGGCGAUGGAAACUGAAGAGCUAGAGAGCAGUAGGGGCAGAGGGAAUUCCCAGUGUAGCGGUGAAAUGCGUAGAGAUUGGGAAGAACAUCGGUGGCGAAAGCGCUCUGCUGGGCUGAAUCUGACCCUGAGGGACGAAAGCUAGGGGAGCAAAAGGGAUUAGAUACCCCUGUAGUC
rnacentral:rRNA from 1 species